CGCUUUCUAAGGGCAAAAGCUGCCUGUUUCCACGCCCUCACAUUCAAACUGAAAACUGCGCGCCAAGGUUUUGCAGCAGAACAGAUUUGGAAUGAAAAAGAGAAAUGCCUCCCAGAAAGCGUAGGAAGUGUACUUCGGUCACUGUGAAAAAUCAUGCAGAAAAAGCUCAUGCUACAUCAGCAACCCCUGCUGCUUGUUCAGAAAGCGACACUGCUUCCCCACUGCCACAGGCAUGCCCGCCUUCCUCCAGCACAGUCGCUGUGUCACUUCAGCAUCCACCUGUAUCACUGGCUGUGCCUCGCCCAGCUGUAAUACCCGACAGCAUGGCUACACCACAAGUAUUUGCUGAAGUCGAGAGCCUUCUCCCUCUUUCUUUCAACAAGAGAAAGAAAAGGAGAAGCCUGCGAUUUAGGUGUGGGCAUCGGCAAGUUGGCAGUAAGGAUGAUUCCUUUUGACAGGAUCGCAGUUUUGGAGGGCUCGAUCACAACCAAAGAUGUUGCCAUUGGAAAGCUUCAUGAAUUUAACAAUUCAACUUGGCUGACCGCAACAACUCCCCGCCUCCUCAGGAGGGAUGAGACAAAACAUGCGCCCUCCGAUACGAGCACUGUCAAAGCCAUAUGCUAUUUUUCGCACUACAAGCCCAGAGCUCCCACCCCCUAGCGAACACAUCGUUUGGAGGAGUCGAUGCAGCUAGAAAUGCCAACGCCCUGAACCUGCAGGCGCCAGACAGAUUCUGACUGCAUCCUCCAUCACGUCGGACAAUCCAUCUGUGUACCGCCUUUAAAAAACAAAAAACUAAACGUUGAUAAUUAUCACUGUCUAAGUCUGUGUUAGAAAGUACUAUAGCACAUGGUCUGUUUUUUGUUUGCUUUCAAAAUUGUAACUAUUGUAUACUGAUUUUUUAAAACUUAUUGUAUAUUAGUUUUUUAAUUAGUUUUGAAUUUGCUAUGUAUCAUGGAUUGUGUAAAUUACAUAACAAAAAUGAUCAUUAUAAUAAAUCAAGUAUAAUCAAAUCUAAGUAUGAAGACACAUGUAAAAUGCAAUUGGAAUGAACAGUUUUCUGACUCUGCUACUUUGUUUCACUUUUGUUAGAUCACAUUAAGGAACAAUGUUUUCAUUUUUUAUCAAUCAGAUUGUGAUUCAAUUCCCUUCCUGUAACCUUCAGACUUAGGAGAUACCACAUUUCUACCAUAAAAUCUUUUUUUUAUUUUAUAAUGCACACAAGUUUGCAUUCUGUCAUUUUGCCAAAAGCUGGUCUGGGAGGAGGCAGAUAUUUUUCUGAAUAUAUAAGGCAGGGGUAGACACCCCUGGUCCUGGAGUGCCACAGACCAGUGAUUCCCAACCCUGGUCCUGGAGGACCCCCUAACCUGCUGGUUUUUGUUCCAACCGAGCUUGCAAUUACUUAAUCGAACUAAUAAUUUGCCUAAUCAGAGCCUUUUAAUUCUUUUAAACAGUUGGGGUUCCAAGUUAGGUGUAAAAUUGUAUAAGGAACUUGAAUUCUCCAACUUUUUAUAAGUUACAUGAUUUAAAAAGUCCAGUUUAAACUAUUACUUAAAUUAAGGGUUCAAUUAAGUAAUUGAGAGCUCGUUGGAACAA